CGUGUCGUUCCGCUCAAUGAAUAAACUGCAUCUGUUAAGGCGCGAAAAUCAGGGGCAAGGUUUUGGAUAAAGGUCUGGGAGCAGAGGUCGCCCGCCACAGAGAGGGAAGGGAAACCAGUGAUGGAGGGCACAACGGCAAGCGAGGCAGCCGGGCUGGGUGUCGGUGCCCUUCUGUUUCUGGCCACCAUGGCCGCUCCUAAGAUUGACGCCUUCAUUGCGUCUUCGCAGAGGGGCUCUUUAGGUAUGUGCACGAGAUGCGGUGAUCUUAAAGUAAUUGCAUGUUCAAAAUGUAGAGGACAGGGUGUAAUCCAGGCAGUGUCCUUCAGUAUGGUCAAUGAUAUCUUAGUACCACUUGGAAAUACAGCGUCAAGUUCAAAACCUUGUCCUGGUUGUUCAGCCAAAGGUCAUCUGUCUUGCCCUAAUUGUUCAAUGAAGAUUUGACAUUUAUCAGGUUAUGUUUAUAUCAAUAUUAAGAUGUAUAUUAACAUUGUUGUUUAACUUUAAGAAGAGCAUAAAAUGUGUCUGGAAUUUUGGACACUAUGAGAGCUCAGUACUAGUGUGGUGCUGCUUAUGUAAUGGUCUUUGAUAUUCA